AGGUCAUGUUAUCCCUGGAGUAGAAAACCCAGAGACGGCUACUUUCCAGGGUCCUGCAUCUGGGGUGCAAGUGAGGCACACGCAGAUGAGACUCCACCUGCCCUGGGCAGCUUUCCUGAGCCUUGAGAAACCAGCUCACCAUGAAUCCAAGGUGUCUGCUGUUCCUUGCCACCAUUUCAUGGAACCUGUUGUAUGUAACGCAAAAGAUUCUUCAAAAUCAAACUGUGUCCGGAAUUGGUGGGUUCUUGGUCUCACUGACUUCAAGAAUGAAGCCACGGACCCUGGCGGUGAGUGUUACAGCUCUUAAGGUGGCGUUUCUGGAGUCUGUCCCUUCUGAUGUUCAGAUGUGUUCGGAGUUUCUUCCUUCUGGUGGGUUCGUGGUCUCGCUGGCUCAGGAGUGAAGCUGCAGAUCUUCACGGUUGCUAGUAACACAAUAAUAAAGCUGCUUUAUUUUCCAGUGAAGAUGUAUGUGAUAGGGAGUGGAGGAAGAAAAAGGCCAGAAAAUUCCAUAGUUAGCAAAUAUACCUUUCUUACUUAAAAUUCUUUUUCCAAUGUGAGCCUUCUAAAGAGUUACUGAGAAAUUAGGUGAGCUCACCUCAUUUAAUGCAAUAGAUAUGUUUCUGAAAAAUAAGCAAUACAUAGGACAUUGGCCAAUUAAGAAUUCUGAUGAAGAAGAAUUUUCACAUCCGAAAGAGUAAAAAUGAAAAACGGUACAAAUGUAGUGGCUUUUAAAUUUCAAAACAAAUUAUUUUGAUAAGAUAAAUAUUCCUCUCAUAAAGUGAAAAUGGAAGAGACUGCUUGCUGGGUGUUCGUCAAAAUGGAGUUAGAUGGUCUGUCCCAGACUCCCCUGUUGUUAGUUCUGAGAACAGAAGUAAUGGUGCUUCUUCAGGACUGGCUCAUAGAAACCUGCCGUGUUCAGCCCCCACAAUCCUCUCCCUUCUGCUGGCUGGAAACAAAUGACAACGAAGCCUCACGUCUUGGAGAAACCACACUGCUGAGGAACUCAAGUCCUAGAAGAACCAUUUGAAGAGACCCAUCUCACUAAAGAAAAUCACACAAGCAAGAAGUAAACUUCAUUGUAUCUAUGUAUUUAAUUGUCAUAACAGUCUACCUUAACUGAUACAGCAAAAAUUCGCUCCUUUUCUGGACACCCAGUUUCAAAAUCUCAGUGUCAUUUUUUACUUCUCUCUUUUCAGGUUGUUUAAUAUAAUAAAAUUUGUGUGUGUGUGUGUGUGUGUGUGACAAGGUCUUGCUCUGUUGCCCAGGCUGGAGUGCAAUGGCACGCUCCCAGCCCACUACAGCCUUGACCUCCAAGCUCAAGUGUUCCUCCCACCUCAGCCUCCAGAGUAACUGGGACUACAGGCAUGGGCCACCACACCCGGCUAAUUUUUGUACUUUUUGUAGAGACAGGGUUUCACCAUGUUGCCCAGGCUGGUCUUGAACCCCUGGGCUCAAGCGAUCUGCCCAUCUCCACCUCCCAAAAUUCUAGGAUUACAGGCGUGAGCCACUACACCCAACCAUUUUAUUUUUAAAAGUUUUCUUUGCAAUAUUGCUCACAUUGUUUCCUUCCUUUUUAUUCUUAUUGUCACUCCCAAGUUCAGGCUUUUACCUCUUUUAUUUGAAGUAUUAAAGUAUACUUCUAAGUCA
rnacentral:lncRNA from 1 species